GACGAACGCUGGCGGCGUGCUUAACACAUGCAAGUCGAACGGAAAGGCCCUGCUUUUGUGGGGUGCUCGAGUGGCGAACGGGUGAGUAACACGUGAGUAACCUGCCCUUGACUUUGGGAUAACUUCAGGAAACUGGGGCUAAUACCGGAUAGGAGCUCCUGCUGCAUGGUGGGGGUUGGAAAGUUUCGGCGGUUGGGGAUGGACUCGCGGCCUAUCAGCUUGUUGGUGGGGUAGUGGCUUACCAAGGCUUUGACGGGUAGCCGGCCUGAGAGGGUGACCGGCCACAUUGGGACUGAGAUACGGCCCAGACUCCUACGGGAGGCAGCAGUGGGGAAUAUUGCACAAUGGGCGGAAGCCUGAUGCAGCAACGCCGCGUGCGGGAUGACGGCAUUCGGGUUGUAAACCGCUUUCGCCUGUGACGAAGCGUGAGUGACGGUAAUGGGUAAAGAAGCACCGGCUAACUACGUG
rnacentral:rRNA from 1 species